AACUGGACUCGAGUUAUGUACACCUCUGUAUACCCAUAACUUUUUUUUCCCUAUGAGACUAUUCGCCUUUGCCUUUUCUUUUUUGUCUGUCAGACUCUCCACUUCCCGAAAAUUGUGCCUGACGUUAAAGUCAAAGCAGUUAUAGGGUAUGGCAUUUAUUGUACCCUACUUUUUUUAUUGAUUUAUUUCAAACGUUUUCUUUUUGUUCUCUUUCCUCUAUCAUCACCUUCAUUUUACCAUGUCUAUCUCUCCCCUCAUCUCUGCAAAUCAAAGCUUUUUCUUCUUUUCUAAGUUUAUCAACCACAGCCGUGUCCACCGUUUUUCGCCAGAUCUGACCCGUAUCCCGUGUCAGAAUCUGUGUCGGAUCGUGUCGACACGGGUACGGCACCCCAAACAGCCGAGUCCGGGUAACGAAGGUUGCGUUUAAAGUGAGUAUAUUGUCCUGCAAUGAAAGGUUGUUUUGGCCUUUGUUGAGAAGGCGCUUGUUAGUGAUGUUCUUGUGGAAGAAUUUCCAGUUCAACGGGAUCAUCUUCGAAACUAAUUUGAACAUGGCAAGGUUCUUUCCAAUAGCUCAGGUAGCUGAAUUAAGGAGAGAUAUUAUCGGAAUAUGACAAAAGACAACCGAAUCACUCUAUGACUACUAAGAGCGAUACAAGAAAUUGUGUGCAAGUUUCCUACAACAUUGCCUAAUUGAACAAUCACUUCUUCAAUAUUUCUAUGAGGAAUUACUCUUUAUGGAAAUGAAGAUCAUUGAUGCUACCAGUGGAGGAGCACUUGUUAACAUGACUCCUUAAGGAGCAAUGAAAUUAAUUUCAACUAUUAAUGCAAAUUCCCAAUAAUUUCGACCAACUACAAAA